GGAGAUAACCGUGUUCUACCAGGUGAAGGCUAAGAUGGGGGAGAAGGAGGUUUCCCCCAACACCUUCUUCUCCGUGUGGCACGACUUCUCCUCCGACUUUAAAGACCUGUGGAAGAAGGAGAACAAGAUGAUCCUACAGGAAAGACUGAAGAAGGCAGAGGAGUGCUUCAGACAAGCCAAGGAGAAGGCGACCUACAGUGUCAAACCCAAGCAUGCCUCGGGAAUCAAAGCCAAGCUGGGCAUGAAGAUUUAAGAUUGGUGGACGUCUAUUUUACUGUGGAGCGAGAGACGAGGAACAACCGAGUUGGACUGCAUGUACUACUACCGAUGAAUCACUUAGGCUUUAGAACGAGAACCAAAUUACACACUAUUCCCUAUG